CGGAACGGGUGAGUAACGCGUGAGGAACCUGCUCAAAGAGGGGGACAACAGUUGGAAACGACUGCUAAUACCGCAUAAGCCCACGGCUCGGCAUCGAGCAGAGGGAAAAGGAGCAAUCCGCUUUGAGAUGGCCUCGCGUCCGAUUAGCUAGUUGGUGAGGUAACGGCCCACCAAGGCGACGAUCGGUAGCCGGACUGGGAGGUUGAACGGCCACAUUGGGACUGAGACACGGCCCAG
rnacentral:rRNA from 1 species